rnacentral:lncRNA from 1 species
AGGGAGCAGCACUGGGGGAAUGAAAGAGACGCAAGAGAUGAUUGAUUUUGCAGCAAAACACAAUAUAACAGCUGACAUUGAGGUUAUUUCGAUGGAUUAUGUCAAUACGGCAAUGGAGCGGCUCGCCAAGGCUGAUGUUCGGUAUCGAUUUGUCAUUGAUAUUGCAAACACCUUGGCCGCCACCAAACCUUGAAGAAUCAGAAUCAGAAUCAGAUUGGUGUCUUCAAUUCACAACUUUGUUCCAUGAUCCACUUUGCUAUAUGUAAUGCUCCCUCGAUCAUUACACUCUUUUAGCGCUUAAAUUACUUUUAAUUUCCAGUUACAUCACCCUAAUUAUGUCGUGAUUGCCAAAAAACUAUAAAUGUUAAUGAAAUAAAACAUUGUUCAUAUAAAAUAUUUAGCAUAUGUACCUUUCACCAAUUGUCCAGUUGAAAAGUUUGUUUUGUUCUAAAUCACAUAUAGAGUUUUGCUCUCAUGCGGCACUUUUCAUUUUUUUUUUCUUCUCGUACCAACACUAUCAAGUCGUAUAAUUCAAUAAAAUUAGUAUAGAUGGCAGAAAUCUAUAAAAUCAUAUUUGCAAAGGUAUGUAGCAACAGCAGCGUCUAGGUUCCUCUGACCUUGAACAAAAAUAUACGAUUGUCCUAAAUGGCUCAUGAAUUCAUAUCACAAUUUUCAACGCUGCAUAUAUGUUUUCCAACAGAAAAUUUCUCUGGAUUAGGGUUUAGUGUUAUGUUAAAUUUUUAUCGAGUAUUGAAUCAAUCAUUGAAUUAAUAGUUAAAAUUGUUUUAAAUUUUUAAAUUUUUACAAUUUCUCCUAUUAAUAACUAUUGAUUCAAUAUCCAGUAAAAAUUUAAUUUAGCACGUAAUCCUUAUUCGACUUUGCAACCAAAGAAAACAAACAAAACUUCAUCGGUCAAUGGAAGCAUUUUCUUAGGACCUCACGGUUCACCCCCAAUGUUGAUGCAUGAUGGAUGAUUCUAUCAAGAUGAAUAUAGUUCAAGUUUUACCACCCCAUCAAAUCUAUCAUGAAAUUUCAUUUAUUCUUUUUUUUUUUUGUAGAUCUUAAUAUGUACUAUGAUUGAAAAAGAGAGAGAGAGAGAGAAUAGUAAAAUCCAUAUCUAAAAUGGUAUGUGGUAUGUAUAUAGUAGUACAUGAUCUAUAAUGGUAUGUAUAUGAUGUACAUGAUAUGAUCUAAGCUCUGCUUGUGCUACCUAUAUUUUAGUGUUAGUAUAUAAUUAGAAUUUAACUACCUUUAUUUUUUAAUUUGUUAAUUACCAAUCACUUUAAUAAAAUAUAAAACUUACUAGGGGUGGUAAUAUGGGUCAGGAUUCGUUUAUUCGAUUCGAUUCGAUGCGAAUUAAAUGGGUUUGGGUUUGAAAAAAAUUGAUUCGUUUAAUAAAUGGAUGAAUUCGAUUUGAUUCGUUAAUUAAACGAAUCGAAUGCGGGUUUGAAAAUUUACAUUCGUUUAUUCGUUUAGAAUUCAUUUAAUAAAUGGGUCAUAAACGAAUCGAAUACAGGUCGAUUCGUUUAUUAUUCGUUUAAUUAAAUUACUUUUUUAUCCUUAAAUUUAUUUGAAAGCUUUUUAAAAUUUGAAGGUUAAUAUUGUAAUUUUAAGCAAAUAACAAAAAAAAAAAAAACCAAAGUAGCGGAAACCCAAAUGCUAAAUCCCUAAAAAUUCUCCCCUCACUCAGCCGCUCUCGUUGCUCUAUGCCUCUCUCACACGAAUCACACUCACCCACCCAUACCAAGUGAAGCAAUCAAGCAACAAAAACAACCGCCGGUAGCCACUGUCAUUAACUCACAGGGAACUGACGAUUACAACCACCAUCGUUCAUCUAUCGUCGAUUGAGCUUGAGGGACGCAGCCACGCGAGUGCAGCCCGCGACUCGGCAGCAACCCAGGAGCAUCAGCUGCGCAACGUAUUAGCAGCCACUCGAACCCACAGUAGUGGCUAACCCGUGCGGCGGUGCAGCAGCAGCAAACCCAGGCGACUGCGACCCGAACUAGUGCCCAGGCGACCCGAAUCAACAAGCCAUCACCAACUCAGAGUAAUAUCAUGAGAUUAUGGUUGAAUUAUUGAGAAAUUUUGUAUUGUAGAAUAUUAUGAGAUUAUGGUUUAGAAAAUGUUUGGGAAAUUUACAAAAUUAGCCAUAAAACUUUUACGUUUUUCAACUUUAACCCCCCAAAGUUUUUUCUAUCAUAACUAGCCAAACACCUUAUGUUUGGACUACAUUACCCUCAUCACUUUCAUCAAAUUUACAAAGCCAUGCCACUUUUUCAAAUUUACAAAGCCAUGGCACCUGUUCCAUUGCUUGUCGCGCAAAAACCCAUGGAUUUUAUGGAGUACAUGAUUUUGGAUUUGAUUUGUCUCGUCGUAAGCUUCGAAACGGUAUAUUAUACGCCUAAAACGAACAUAUAUAGCUCAAGUUAUGGCUUUCGAAACAUAUAUGAAAUUUAGUGAGACAGGCAAGUGGGACAGGUGCUUGUCGCACAUAAACGCACUGCAUUUAUGUGCGAUAGGCACCUGUCCCACUGCUUGUCGCACAUAAACUCACGGCGUUUAUGGAAUGCAUGAUUUUGGAUUUGAUUUGUCUCGUCGUAAGCUUCGAAACGGUAUAUUAUACGCCUAAAACGGACAUAUAUAGCUCAAGUUAUGGCUUUCGAAACAUAUAUGAAAUUUAGUGAGACAGGCACCUGUCCCACUUGCCUGUCUCACUAAAUUUCAUAUAUGUUUCGAAAGCCAUAACUUGAGCUAUAUAUGUCCGUUUUAGGCGUAUAAUAUACCGUUUCGAAGCUUACGACGAGACAAAUCAAAUCCAAAAUCAUGCAUUCCAUAAACGUCGUGAGUUUAUGUGCGACAAGCAGUGGGACAGGUGCCUAUCGCACAUAAAUGCAGUGCGUUUAUGUGCGACAGGCACCUGUCCCACUUGCCUGUCUCACUAAAUUUCAUAUAUGUUUCGAAAGCCAUAACUUGAGCUAUAUAUGUUCGUUUUAGGCGUAUAAUAUACCGUUUCGAAGCUUACGACGAGACAAAUCAAAUCCAAAAUCAUGUACUCCAUAAAAUCCAUGGGUUUAUGCGCGACAAGCAAUGGAACAGGUGCCAUGGCUUUGUAAAUUUGAAAAAGUGGCAUGGCUUUGUAAAUUUGAUGAAAGUGAUGAGGGUAAUGUAGUCCAAACAUAAGGUGUUUGGCUAGUUAUGAUAGAAAAAACUUUGGGGGGUUAAAGUUGAAAAACGUAAAAGUUUUAUGGCUAAUUUUGUAAAUUUCCCAAAAUGUUUUGUAUUGUUCGGAAAAUAUUAUGAAAUUAUGUAUAAAUCGAUUAUGGUGUUAAAAAUUAUCUGUAGGAUAAGGAAGAAGCUCCCACAAAUAUUGGAUUAAAAUUUUUUUUAGUAUUAGAAUUUAUAAUUUAUUAUGUUGUAUUGUUAAUAUUUUGUGUAUUGGAAUAUUGUGCAUUAGGAAUAUUGCCGGGUUAGAAUUUGGCAUACAUGAUGAAUAGAUUCGUGGUCUUGGUAAUGGUGCUUGAAAGUGAUUAUGUAUGUUAAUUUCUCUGUUAGACUUUUUCUUUGAUUUAUUAGUUUAUGAACAUGAGCACUAAUUGUGCUCCAUCUGUAGAGAGUGCAAAUGAUCCAAAUGACAGUGUUAGGUAAGGUUUUUAUCUUGUUUAAUUAUUAUUUCCUUGAAAAUGCUACAAAUUUGCUAUAUAUUUGAUUUUUGAAAUUUUACAAUGACUAUUAUCAAUAUUGGAGCAUGUUAAUAACAUUUUAUUUAUUUUUUCGUGUAGGAUUUUUGUUUUCAAGGUGACAAAGACAAAUGAAAAGAAUUAAAGAAAUUACAUUUCUUUAUAAUUUCAAUUUGAAUUAUUGUUAUUUGUAAUAUUAAGGAUUUGGUAUUUGUUAUUUGGAUGACUGUAUAAUAUGAUUUGAAUUAUUUGUAUUUUGUUGUGGGAUAUUAAAUUUGUGUUUUUUUUGCUUAAUUUUGUUUAUUAAUUAUAUUUUUCUAAACGAAUUGUAAACGAAUCCUGAUUCGAUUCGAUUCGUUAUGGAUUCGUAAAGGAUAAACGAAUAAUAAACGAAUCCGGAUUCGAUUCGAUUCGUUUAUCAAUUCUAUUAAACGAAUUAAACGAAUUGAACCGAAUAUUCGUUUAAUAAACGAAUCGAAUCCGAAUCUUGAAAUUUCAAUUCUUUUAAUAAACGAAUCGAAUUCGAAUCCAUAGAAUUUUGACCCAAUUCAUUUACGAUUCGAUUCGAAUUCGAUUCGUUUAUUCGUUUUGCCACCCCUAAAACUUACUCAAAAGAAAAUCAUAUUAAGAGAGAAUCAUGAUCCAAUUAGAAGAGUAUGUUUCUUACAUUUCAUAAAUAUUUUUGAACAUCUUUUAAAAUUGUCGGUUCAUUUUAAGGUAAAAUUUCUAACUUUUUGUGGAUGAGUUUUCAUGACUAAUUUGCAUGCAUAUAUAUCUUAAUAAUAUUAAUCAAAUUGAUACGGUGUUCCAUUUGUUUGGAUGGUUAAGAAAAUCUAAGUUUCAGCACAAAUGAUCAUUGGGCUACAAAUCCAACGAUAGACUGGUACUCUCAAUUUAUUCUGCUACCAGAAGAUAGGCCGUCCAUGUGUACACUAUGAAAUGUAAUAUUUUUAUCAUAUUUAGGAGGAUAAACGUCUUAUUAUUUAAGAUAAUAAUUGUUAAUGUGUACAUUAUAAAUACUCAGCAUCUGGUUAUUCUAGAAGGCUCUUUGAUAGGAUUCUAUUGGUAUUUGAAAAAAAAUAUCAAUAUUCUCCCAGUUUAAUUAAUUUUUUUCCAAGAUGUUUAAUAAAUAAAUUUUAAGUAUAAAAAAAUAUUAAUAUUCUCCCAGUUUAAAAAAAUUCACAAAAAUAUUUUUUAUUUUUAAAAAUAAUUACACAAAUUUAUUUUUAUCUUUAUUUAAUUUGAAUUUAACUGCAAGAUUUUUAAAAAUUCAAAAGAAUUUAAAUUAAGAUAAGGUCUUAUCUUUUUAAAAAUAUAUAAAUUUAAUUUUUUAUUGAACAAUAGUUAUACAAUACCUUAUGAUAUUCUUUAUGUUAAAAAGUAAAAAAACAACAAAAUUCACAUUAGCCUUUAAAAUUUAUCAAAAAAAAUAUUUGUAAUUAUUUUUUAAAAAAAAUCAAAUUUUUGUGAUCAUUAAUUCCACCGAAUCAGCGCGCUGGGUUCUCAUUUUGCCGUAAGUCUCAUAAUGGUUGUUCGUGGUGUUGCUUUUGACAGGUAUCCACCUUUGAGUUUGCGACACUAGGAAUUGAAUAAUAAUAAUAAUAAUAAUGGUGAAGCUGACCCAAGAAGUAUCUCGCUGGUCCGCCAUGUCAUUGACGGUGGACAUCCCAUACAUAGCGCAUCCGUAUGUCACAUGUUAGCUCACUGAUUACUUCAGCAAAAUUUAUGACCCCCUCUCUCCACCUCCCUGCUGUCAGCCUGUUCCCGAUAAUUAUUAUUUUUGAGAUGCUCGAAAAUAAUUUUAAAGUUAAAAACUGAUUUUUUUUAUAUAUUAGGAAAAUUUAAAUUUAUUCAUAUUAAUUAUAAAAUAAAAUUAUUUUGAAGAGAUUAUUAUCAUUAUCAAUAAUAUUGAGAUAAAAAAUUAUUAUAUAUAUUAUGUUUAUUAAUAAUUAUUAUAUAUACACAAUAAAAAAUAUUAUACAUAUAUUAAAUAAAUUUUAUUUAAUAUUAUAUCUAAUUUAGAAAUUAUUAAAAUUUUAAUUUAUUCUUUUUUUCAAUAAAUUAUUUCUACAUCACAUCUAAUAAUAAUUAUUUUAAAAAUUAUAAUAUUAUCUAAUUAGUCUUCAUUAUAUAUAAUUUUUCUCGAUUAUGACAUCUUCACUUUAUUAAGGUGAAGAUAUUAACAAAAUAUAAAAAAAAAACACCGACUUUAAUGUAUUAAAAAAUUAAAAUUAUAUUUUUUUAUCCGUUAAUAACUUAAUAUAUUGAAAUCAUCACUAAAUCAGUUGUUAAAUCCAUAAUUACACAGUUACGUUAGCUAUAUCGGACUGCUGAAAGUAAAUGCGGUACCAUAUUAUAGUUGCAACAUAACUGAACCUCACUAAACAAUGAAUAUAUUAUAAAAUAAAAUAUAUUAUAUUAAAUUUUGUAUUUAUAUUUUUUAAUUUAUCUUCUCUUUAAUAUAAUAAAAAAUCUUGAUUAGAAACAUCUGUACACACAUUAACAUUCAUAUGAAGCAUAAACAAAAACUGGUACUUUUACUCGUCUCAUCACAUCAUUCAAACCACUAUAAUAAUGAUAACAUUGCCGUUCUCUCAUCCAAAAUGGCAAAAUCACCAGAAGAAGAACAUCCAGUAAAGGCCUUUGGGUGGGCAGCCCGAGACAGCUCCGGCCAUCUCUCCCCAUUCAACUUCUCCAGAAGGUAAUUAAUAGUUGAGCAUAAUAUAUAUGUGUGAUGCUGCUUUAAAUUUAUUUAAAAUUUUGUUACUGUACGUGUUGAUGAAAUGGUCAUAAACGUGGAUAUGUAAAAUACGGACAGGGAAACGGGUGAUGAGGAUGUGAGGCUGAAGGUAUUGUAUUGUGGGAUCUGCCAUACUGAUCUCCACAACAUCAAGAAUGAAUGGGGCUUCUCUCUCUUCCCUAUGGUUCCUGGGUAUGUACCCAUGAUCUAUCUACCCUUCAAUUUUUGUUUCUUUUGCAUUUUUUUUUGCAUUUGUUUUUGUUUCGGGUCAAACCCAGCUACGCAUGAACAGGCUGUUGUUUCCGUCACGGCGCUCCCUAAUUAUUAACUACGGUACUUGCCUGUGUAUACAGAAAGAGAUUAACCAAGGCCAAGGCUUUGGGAUCUUUUAAUUUGAUACAAAUCGUCCCCAAUCCUAUUUAAUUCUAUCUUAUAUAGAGGUGCUAGUGAAAUAUUGGUAACGAGGGUUUUAAUCUUACCGUUCCAUAUUUGAUGUGAUGAAUAACUGGAAUCUCCUGUUAAAAGUGGCAAACAUAUAUAUUUACGGGUCAUCAUCGUUUAAUAAGAUUUUCUUACAACAAAUUAAACAAAAAUAGAGACACACAAAUUUUAAUGUAAUAUAAAAUAAAAUAUAUUGGAUGAAAAUAUGUAUUUUUCUUAUACAUUAUCUUCAUAACUCUUGGUAGAUUUAUACUCUCUAUCUUAUAAAUAAAGGGUGGAAAUAACAAUUAACUCAAUUAAAGCGUUGUUAGCAUAGAUAUCUUUUUUUUUUCCCAAUAAAAUUAAUUUAUUUCCAUUUGACUCUGUACAAUUUUUAAAUAUUCCAGUGUAGUGGCCAGUGGGGUGCCUUGGCAUCAUUAGAGUGUUGAGAUCACACUAAAGACUUAACCCAUCAAAAUGGUACACCUGUGUAAUUGCGGAAUGGUCAAUUAUGAGAUUUUACUUGAGGGAUAGACGAGGUUGACAAAUAAACGGAGACAUGACUUGUAACUUGAAUUUGCAUUCAAAUGAAGACUUGUAAAUUUUCAAAUUUCAAAUUUCUUUGCUUGAAGAAUUUUAUGAUUGAGAAACUUACUGACAAAAGAAAAGUUGGUGGAGUGGUGUAGUAUAUACGUUUCCAGAAGCUAGCUAGUUAUAUAUUGUCAAAAACAGAAUCAAAUACCUUGUUUCCACUAAAGUAAUUUAUCAUAAACAAAUUGUAUUUAUUUGCAGGCAUGAAAUUGCAGGGGAAGUGACAGAAGUUGGUAGCAAAGUAAGAAAGGUUAAAGUGGGAGAUAAAGUUGGAGUUGGAUGCAUGGUUGGUGCAUGCCACAGCUGCGAGAGCUGUGCCAAUGACCUUGAAAAUUACUGUCCGAAAGUGAUACCCACCUACACUUCCAUUAACACUGACGGAACAAUCACAUACGGAGGCUACUCUGAUCACAUGGUUGCCAAUGAGCGCUACAUUGUUCGAUUCCCUGAUAGCAUGCCCCUUGAUGCUGCUGCUCCCCUGCUUUGCGCCGGGAUUACCGUGUACAGUCCAUUGAAAUACUUUGAACUAGCAGAACAAGGAAAGCAUGUAGGCAUCGUUGGCCUUGGCGGGCUUGGUCAUGUCGCUGUCAAAUUUGCCAAGGCUUUUGGGGCCAAAGUGACAGUAAUUAGCACCUCUCCAAGCAAGAAGACUGAAGCUCUUGAACAUCUUGGCGCUGAUUCAUUUUUGAAUAGCCGUGACCCUGACCAAUUGCAGGUAAUUUAAUUAGAUUCACGCAUAUAUUGGAGAAAAAUAAAAAAUAAAAUGCAUUCCUUAAUUUUAAUAUAUAUUUUGUAAUAACUUCAUCAGGGUGCCAUGGGCACAUUGGAUGGUAUUAUUGACACGGUGUCCGCUGUGCACCCCAUUUUGCCAUUGCUCGGUCUAUUAAAGUCCAAGGGCAAGCUUGUUCUGGUUGGUGUUCCGGACAAGCCACUCGAGCUACCUGUGAUUUCCUUAAUUAUGGGUAAGUUCUAACAAAAUUCUUCGGAAACUUGUGGUCUAAAACUUGUAAUUAAUAUAAGUCAUUUGAUAACAUAAAAUGACAUAGCAGGGAGGAAGACGGUGUCAGGGAGCAGCAUUGGGGGAAUGAAAGAGACGCAAGAGAUGAUUGAUUUUGCAGCAAAACACAAUAUAACAGCUGACAUUGAGGUUAUUUCGAUGGAUUAUGUCAAUACGGCAAUGGAGCGGCUUGCCAAGGCUGAUGUUCGGUAUCGAUUUGUCAUUGAUAUUGCAAACACCUUGGCUGCCACCAAACCUUGAAGAAUCAGAAUCAGAAUCAGAUUGGUGUCUUCAAUUCACAACUUUGUUCCAUGAUCCACUUUGCUAUAUGUAAUGCUCCCUCGAUCAUUACACUCUUUUAGCGCUUAAAUUACUUUUAAUUUUCAGAUACAUCGACCCUAAUUAUGUCGUGAUUGCCAAAAAAGUAUAAGGGUGCGUUUGGCACACUGUAUUAUAUUAUGUUGUAUUGUAUUAUUUUUAUGCUGGUGUGUUGCAUU